rnacentral:rRNA from 1 species
UACGAAGGGUGCAAGCGUUCCUCGGAAUUACUGGGCGUAAAGGGUGCGUAGGUGGUUCUUUAAGUCUGCUGUGAAAGCCCCGGGCUCAACCUGGGAAUGGCAGUGGAUACUGGAGAGCUAGAGUGCGGUAGAGGGUAGUGGAAUUCCCGGUGUAGCAGUGAAAUGCGUAGAGAUCGGGAGGAACACCAGUGGCGAAGGCGGCUACCUGGACCAGCACUGACACUGAAGCACGAAAGCGUGGGGAGCAAACAGG